UUUAUGGAGAGUUUGAUCCUGGCUCAGGAUGAACGCUGGCGGCGUGCCUAAUACAUGCAAGUCGAGCGAACAGACGAGGAGCUUGCUCCUUUGACGUUAGCGGCGGACGGGUGAGUAACACGUAGGUAACCUACCUAUAAGACUGGGAUAACUUCGGGAAACCGGAGCUAAUACCGGAUAAUAUUUCGAACCGCAUGGUUCGAUAGUGAAAGAUGGCUUUGCUAUCACUUAUAGAUGGACCUGCGCCGUAUUAGCUAGUUGGUAAGGUAACGGCUUACCAAGGCAACGAUACGUAGCCGACCUGAGAGGGUGAUCGGCCACACUGGAACUGAGACACGGUCCAGACUCCUACGGGAGGCAGCAGUAGGGAAUCUUCCGCAAUGGGCGAAAGCCUGACGGAGCAACGCCGCGUGAGUGAUGAAGGUCUUCGGAUCGUAAAACUCUGUUAUUAGGGAAGAACAAACGUGUAAGUAACUGUGCACGUCUUGACGGUACCUAAUCAGAAAGCCACGGCUAACUACGUGCCAGCAGCCGCGGUAAUACGUAGGUGGCAAGCGUUAUCCGGAAUUAUUGGGCGUAAAGCGCGCGUAGGCGGUUUUUUAAGUCUGAUGUGAAAGCCCACGGCUCAACCGUGGAGGGUCAUUGGAAACUGGAAAACUUGAGUGCAGAAGAGGAAAGUGGAAUUCCAUGUGUAGCGGUGAAAUGCGCAGAGAUAUGGAGGAACACCAGUGGCGAAGGCGACUUUCUGGUCUGUAACUGACGCUGAUGUGCGAAAGCGUGGGGAUCAAACAGGAUUAGAUACCCUGGUAGUCCACGCCGUAAACGAUGAGUGCUAAGUGUUAGGGGGUUUCCGCCCCUUAGUGCUGCAGCUAACGCAUUAAGCACUCCGCCUGGGGAGUACGGUCGCAAGACUGAAACUCAAAGGAAUUGACGGGGGCCCGCACAAGCGGUGGAGCAUGUGGUUUAAUUCGAAGCAACGCGAAGAACCUUACCAGGUCUUGACAUCCUCUGAAAACCCUAGAGAUAGGGCUUCUCCUUCGGGAGCAGAGUGACAGGUGGUGCAUGGUUGUCGUCAGCUCGUGUCGUGAGAUGUUGGGUUAAGUCCCGCAACGAGCGCAACCCUUGAUCUUAGUUGCCAUCAUUAAGUUGGGCACUCUAAGGUGACUGCCGGUGACAAAC
rnacentral:rRNA from 1 species